rnacentral:rRNA from 1 species
CGGGAACUCUGAGACAGGUGCUGCAUGGCUGUCGUCAGCUCGUGUUGUGAAAUGUUGGGUUAAGUCCCGCAACGAGCGCAACCCUUAUCCUUGUUUGCCAGCGAGUAAUGUCGGGAACUCCAGGGAGACUGCCGGUGAUAAACCGGAGGAAGGUGGGGACGACGUCAAGUCAUCAUGGCCCUUACGAGUAGGGCUACACACGUGCUACAAUGGCGCAUACAGAGGGCAGCCAACUUGCGA